rnacentral:rRNA from 1 species
UUAAUUGAAGAGUUUGAUCAUGGCUCAGAUUGAACGCUGGCGGCAGGCCUAACACAUGCAAGUCGAGCGGCAGCACAGAGAAACUUGUUUCUCGGGUGGCGAGCGGCGGACGGGUGAGUAAUGCCUGGGAAAUUGCCCUGAUGUGGGGGAUAACCAUUGGAAACGAUGGCUAAUACCGCAUGAUGCCUACGGGCCAAAGAGGGGGACCUUCGGGCCUCUCGCGUCAGGAUAUGCCCAGGUGG